GUAGGUGGCAAGCGUUGUCCGGAAUUAUUGGGCGUAAAGCGCGCGCAGGCGGUCCUUUAAGUCUGAUGUGAAAGCCCACGGCUCAACCGUGGAGGUCAUUGGAAACUGGGGGACUUGAGUACAGAAGAGGAAAGCGGAAUCCAAGUGUAGCGGUGAAAUGCGUAGAGAUUUGGAGGAACACCAGUGGCGAAGGCGGCUUUCUGGUCUGUAACUGACGCUGAGGCGCGGAAGCGUGGGGAGCAAACAGGAUUAGAUACCCUGGUAGUCCACGCCGUAAACGAUGAGUGCUAAGUGUUAGGGGGGGUUUCCCGCCCCCCUUAGUGCUGCAGCUAACGCAUUAAGCACUCCGCCUGGGGGAGUACGGCCCGCAAGGCUG
rnacentral:rRNA from 1 species